UCUGGUGACCAUAGCGGAGGGGAAACACCCGAUCCCAUUCCGAACUCGGCAGUUAAGUCCUCCAGCGCCAAUGGUACUACUUGGGCGACCUUGUGGGAGAGUAGGACGUCGCCAGGA
rnacentral:rRNA from 1 species